rnacentral:rRNA from 1 species
UACGGAGGGUGCAAGCGUUAAUCGGAAUUACUGGGCGUAAAGCGUGCGUAGGCGGUUCGUUAAGUCUGUUGUGAAAGCCCCGGGCUCAACCUGGGAAUGGCAAUGGAUACUGGCGAGCUAGAGUGUGUCAGAGGAUGGUGGAAUUCCCGGUGUAGCGGUGAAAUGUGUAGAGAUCGGGAGGAACAUCAGUGGCGAAGGCGGCCAUCUGGGACAACACUGACGCUGAGGCACGAAAGCGUGGGGAGCAAACAGG